GGCUCCGUAGCUCAACGGCAGAGCAGCGGACUUUUAAUCCGUGGGUUCAGGGUUCGAGUCCCUGCGGGGCCA
rnacentral:tRNA from 1 species